UUUGAGAUCUUCAACAUUUGGGUUUGUAAACACAAUGAAAACAAUAGGGUCAUAUCUAUCUCUAAAGUACUUAAAUGCUCUGCUGAGGUAUUCUCCUGUUGCUAAAUUAUAUCCAUAUUUGACAUUUCGCUCGUUUUUAUAAUCACCUCGCCGUAUGUGAACCGCAAUGAUUGUCAGAUUUUUACUGGCGAAUGGUUUAGUCAACGACUUUAUAAGUUCGUGCGCUUUGUCUUGAACGUCUCCCAUAAAGACGAACUGUUCUCGGACCUCGUCUUCCACGUCUUCGAAAUAUUUCCACGACUGAAGAUAAGACUUAUGAAUGUAGUUCACUUUUUCUUUACGAAUAAAAUGGACGGAACCUUUGUCGUAUGCACAAGGUUUUCUCUCCACUACUUUCUCUGCAGUGUCACAAAAUUGCUUGCCCAUGAGGAACUGGGAGGAGAUAUUGAAGGUGUUGAAAAGUUCUGAUGCUGGGGUGAUACCCACGGUCAUAUUCCUGGCUCGAGCUAUGCCGUAUGUGGAUGCGUAUUGAAACAUGUGGUUGCCCAGACCACCCCUGAAGUAUACACACAAUCUGUUCUCUUCGGUUUGCACCGGAUAGAACACGUGAGGUCUUCUGAGGUAGAUGUAGAAAAAGACGGCAUUGGUGAUUACGCUGAGGAACAGUGCAAAAAGCAGGAAAUCUAAAGGGAGAUUAAAAAUAAAACCUUAAAAUGUGUAACAGAAGGAUUAACUUUAAAAAUUAUGGCGUUAUAAGGAUUGCUUUAUAAAUGUAAAGUAUGGGCACAAAAAUACGUGACGAAGAGAUUGCUUCUUAUAUUAUGGCUACAUAAUAUGUGACGGAGAAAUUACUUUAAGAAAAUAGCUACAAAAAUAUGUUACAGAGAGAUUGCUUCAUAAAUACGGCAGCAAACACGUGUGUCAAGAGAUGUGAGAUUGCUUGAUUAACAUAUAAUGUUCAGAGAAAUUGCGUUAUAAAAAUUUCAGUCUAAAAUUAAUAGGCAACAAAAAGAUAUUUCUUUAUAGAUAUCUGUAAGAGUGAUGGCUUCGUAAAGAAGCAUACAAAUAAACAUAACCUACAGU
rnacentral:sRNA from 1 species